rnacentral:rRNA from 1 species
UACGAAGGGAGCUAGCGUUGUUCGGAAUCACUGGGCGUAAAGCGCACGUAGGCGGAUUGGAAAGUUGGGGGUGAAAUCCCGGGGCUCAACCCCGGAACUGCCUUCAAAACUCCCAGUCUGGAGGUCGAGAGAGGUGAGUGGAAUUCCGAGUGUAGAGGUGAAAUUCGUAGAUAUUCGGAGGAACACCAGUGGGCGAAGGCGGUUCUCUGGGAAUAUCCUGACGCUGAGGAGCGAAAGUGUGGGGAGCGAACAGG